ensembl:lncRNA
GGACAUGUGCCCAGCUUUGCCCCUUCAGUCAUCUCUCUUUCUUUAGAAUGGAAUAGCAUAGCAUAGCAUAGCAUAGUAUAGCAUAGCAUAGCAUAGCAUAGAAUAGAGUAGAGUAGAGUAGAGUAGAGCAGAGUAGAAUAGAGUAGAGUAGAGUAGAGUAGAGUAGAGUAGAGUGGAGUAAAGUAGAGUAAGUAGAGUAGAAGGAAGGGACCUACAAAGAUCAUCAACCCAUCCAACUGAGGCUGAUAAGGAUGUUAAGAGGGAAUCUGCUGUGGCAGUGACAUAAAGUGCUUGGCAGUGUGGCUGAGUACAAUGAUGUGCUGGUUCCUUACCCAACACAAAUGCAUUUUGGAACUUUGGUACUUUGGAACCACAUUUUGGCUUAGGAGUGAUUCAUGCAUGCUUAAACAGGUGUGCAACAUUCUAGCAUCCUGAUACUCCAGAGACAGUGCCAGAAACAUGUCUUCAGUAUAUGAAGAAGCAAAAAUGAACAAAUGAAUACUAUUACAGAUCACUUAUAAAAACAUUGAAGAGAACUGGCCCUAAAACGGAGCCUUGGAGAGCCCUACCAGUGGCCAGCUGCCAGCCUGAUGUAAUCCCAUCUACUAUAAUGCCUUGAGUCCAACCCAUCAGCCAGUUGUUUACCUAUUGUACCUUUAUAGCUGUAUGCUGCACAUUUUGUCCAAAAGGAUAUCCUGAGAGGGAAGCUCUCCUGAAGUUUGCUGCUGCCCAGAGCAGAGUGGAUAUGGACUGACUUUUACCUGCUCUCACAGAACCUUAUUUCUGUGCUUAAAGAACUCUUAUCAACAGAGUUCUUUGAGAAGAGAAUUGCUGAGGAACUUGUUACACAGUCCCUGAGAACACUGAUCCCUGCUAGUUGGGUUGGACACUUUGUGACAGACCAUAUCAGGGACCCUCUUGAAAAAAAGAGUGUUUGGGUUUUUUUUUCCCCCUCAGAAUAUUGGCUGCUCAGAAGGGUAUUUGCUGCCAGUGCUCCUGUUCUUCAGAAUCGUAAACUGUGUCUACUAGCUUUUCAUCCUCCAUGUGUUGUUUGGUUUUUAUAAGUUUGGCUGAUCUUAUUCUGCUACUCUGGCUAAAUAAAGUUCUU